GAGUUUGAUCGUGGCUCAGGAUGAACGCUAGCGGCAGGCUUAACACAUGCAAGUCGAGGGGUAGAGUAGCAAUACUUGAGACCGGCGCACGGGUGCGUAACGCAUAUGCAACCUACCUUUUACAGAGGGAUAGCCCAGAGAAAUUUGGAUUAAUACCUCAUAGUAUAUGUCUUUCGCAUGUUAGACAUAUUAAGUUCCAACGGUAAAGAUGGGCAUGCGUCCUAUUAGCUAGAUGGUAAGGUAACGGCUUACCAUGGCAACGAUAGGUAGGGGUACCUGAGAGGGAGACUCCCCCACACUGGUACUGAGACACGGACCAGACUCCUACGGGAGGCAGCAGUGAGGAAUAUUGGACAAUGGGCGCAAGCCUGAUCCAGCCAUGCCGCGUGCAGGAAGACGGUCCUAU
rnacentral:rRNA from 1 species